CCACCUGUGGUCAUAAUGGACCUCCACAAGAAGGCAUCCUUUCAUCUCUCUGUGAGUGAUCUUUCACAGCCUCCACAAGAUUUUAAUGGAGAGGUGGAUUUAGAUAUGUUUUGGAAGGCACUGACAGAAGAACGAAUUGCUCAAGGAUUUUUUUCAAGUCAAAAAAACAAUCCAUUUUGUGUUACACCUAGUUACAACUUUUGGGCACCCUGGAUCGGGAGUAAGACUCGCAUAGCGAAUGUUGUU